GAUGAAGAACGUAGCGAAAUGCGAUAAGUAGUGUGAAUUGCAGAAUUCAGUGAAUCAUCGAAUCUUUGAACGCACAUUGCGCCCUUUGGUAUUCCAAAGGGCAUGCCUGUUCGAGCGUCAUUUGUACCCUCAAGCUUUGCUUGGUGUUGGGCGUCUUGUCUCUAGCUUUGCUGGAGACUCGCCUUAAAGUAAUUGGCAGCCGGCCUACUGGUUUCGGAGCGCAGCACAAGUCGCACUCUCUAUCAGCAAAGGUCUAGCAUCCAUUAAGCCUUUUUUUCAACUUUUGACCUCGGAUCAGGUAGGGAUACCCGCUGAACUUAAGCAUAACAAUAAGCGGAGGA
rnacentral:misc_RNA from 1 species